GUCUGCACCCCGCUUCCCCACCCGUACUCACCCACUCUCCGGAUAGUUUCGCUUUCUCCUCGCCGCUCGCUGGACGGAGGAAGGCGAACUGCUGCCAGUCGGAGAUGCUGAAUGCAUUUUGAUCCCAGGGAGAAAUUGAUGAUAGAUUUCAGAUUGCAAAGCAAAUAGUUGAAGAUGUUGGUGCAGAAUACAAUAUACCAAAGCCGUUCUGGCAAUGACAUCAUUGUGCAGCCAAUGACUCAUCCUGCAACAAAUUUGGUUGACAUGGUUUCCAUUAUAUCACUCCUCAAUCUAACAGAAUCAGAAGAAAGCAAGAAACGGAGAAAACUCAAGUAGUCAUCUCAUUUGCAGUUGGACAAAGGUAGUAACUGGAAGGUAUCCACUACUCAGUGAACUGACGAGUCUUGUUCCAUAUAAAGAUGGAAAUGUGUAUAAACAAGGUAGUAAACUACUGCUUAAUAAAUUUUUUGUAAAUGCCGAUGCAAUGAACUAUUAUCACUUAGCAGAAUGUUAUCAAUGUACAUCCCCUGUGAAACUUAAUUGUAUAUUAUCAGUUCUUACCAGAAAUGCUGGUUGCCUGCUCUCAUCCACCGCUUUCAUACCAGUCAGAAUUUCAGCAAGGACCUGUGAUAAAAUUAUAAUGGUACUUGAGCCAUAAAGAAUUAUGGAAAAAGCACCUGUAUGAAAUAAUCAUGAUUUUAAAACAUGGUUUGUUGAUUGUUCUCUAUAAAGAAUGAAGGAAGGGACAGGUAUAUUGUGGGUAGAGUCUCACAAUCUCAUCGAACAGUUAAAAGUGGGUUUGUGUCAGUGAAUUCUUCUUAAUUUCGGGAAGGAGAACCCUGGAUGAAGUCAAACCAGCUACCAAUUAGAACCUGAGGAACAGGGUAUUCAUUCAAAUAACUGAGUUCUCAUAUCAUUCUUAAAACUGUAAAGUACAAUCAGUUAUUUUUAAAGUAUUUCUACUAAAAGAAUAUGUUUGCACCUACUACCCUGUAAUAUUUCCAGUUUAAAAAAAAAUGAUAUUCAGUGACUUCUUAUUGUGACUUACUGCAUUUCACAAUGCACCCUCUCACAGAAUACUUAUGUUCACUGUCAAGCUGCAAACACACCAGUUUUCAAACUGCAGCAUGGAAACUCAGUAGCUCAAUAUUAUGUCGGAUAGAAAAUGCAAAAAAAUGGAAGAUCUGAAUUAUAUUCAAAUUUCCUCUUUUAAUGAAAAUAAACACAAAGUUCUGCCCUCUGUAG